rnacentral:rRNA from 1 species
GCAGGCCUAACACAUGCAAGUCGAGCGGUAACAGAAAUUAGCUUGCUAAUUUGCUGACGAGCGGCGGACGGGUGAGUAAUGCCUGGGAAUAUGCCUUAGUGUGGGGGAUAACUAUUGGAAACGAUAGCUAAUACCGCAUAAUGUCUUCGGACCAAAGAGGGGGAUCUUCGGACCUCUCGCGCUAAGAUUAGCCCAGGUGAGAUUAGCUUGUUGGUGAGGUAAGAGCUCACCAAGGCGACGAUCUCUAGCUGGUCUGAGAGGAUGAUCAGCCACACUGGAACUGAGACACGGUCCAGACUCCUACGGGAGGCAGCAGUGGGGAAUAUUGCACAAUGGGCGAAAGCCUGAUGCAGCCAUGCCGCGUGUAUGAAGAAGGCCUUCGGGUUGUAAAGUACUUUCAGUCGUGAGGAAGGGUGUGUAGUUAAUAGCUGCAUAUCUUGACGUUAGCGACAGAAGAAGCACCGGCUAACUCCGUGCCAGCAGCCGCGGUAAUACG